CAACCUACCUAUCAGAGGGGAAUAACCCGGCGAAAGUCGGACUAAUACCGCAUAAAACAGGGGCACCGCAUGGUGAUAUUUGUUAAAGAAAUUCGCUGAUAGAUGGGCAUGCGUUCCAUUAGGUAGUUGGUGAGGUAACGGCUCACCAAGCCGACGAUGGAUAGGGGAACUGAGAGGUUGGUCCCCCACACUGGUACUGAGACACGGACCAGACUCCUACGGGAGGCAGCAGUGAGGAAUAUUGGUAAUGGGCGGGAGCCUGAACCAGCCAAGUCGCGUGAAGGAAGAAGGAUCUAUGGUUCGUAAACUUCUUUUGCAGGGGAAUAAAGUGCAGGACGUGUCCUGUUUUGUAUGUACCCUGAGAAUAAGGAUCGGCUAACUCCGUGCCAGCAGCUGCGGUAAUACGGAGGAUCCGAGCGUUAUCCGGAUUUAUUGGGUUUAAAGGGAGCGUAGGUUGACAUAUAAGUCAGCUGUGAAAGUUUACGGCUCAACCGUGAAAUUGCAGUUGAUACUGUAUGUCUUGAGUGUACAAGAGGUGGGCGGAAUUCGUGGUGUAGCGGUGAAAUGCUUAGAUAUCACGAAGAACUCCGAUUG
rnacentral:rRNA from 1 species